rnacentral:misc_RNA from 1 species
GGUCUUGUGGCCGGCGACGACGAUCGAUCGUUUGACGACGGGGGAUUUCAUGCUGGCUUCCCGUCAUCAAUGCGGUGCUGAUCGAGGAUGUCGCUGGCGCGCUGUGCCUGCUGUUCGUCGCGGCUGCGCUCGCCGAAGCGAAUGCGAUUGGUCUCGGCCUGCUUAUCUGCUUCUUCACGCGCGAUGCGCUUUUUGAUUUGUUUCAGGUUGAC